GGUUUCACCACGUUGGCCAGGCCAGUCUCAAACUCCUGACAUCAAGUGAUCUUCCCGCCUCGGCCUCCCAGAGUGCUGAGAUGACAGAUGUGAACCCAUGCCUGGCCAGGAAUUUUGUUUUUUAGAAAGGCUUUCUACUAAUGGAAUUCCUGGCCUUGAGAGGAUAUUACUUUCGAAGGAAAGGAUUUUUCUGUUAUUUAAAGAACCACCUAAGCUGAAGAUUCCCUUGAGAACAAGUACUGUCCUGUGGUUUCAUGACCUUUCUUCCAUUUGUGGUUCUUGUGAAGUGGAAUUUAAAUGACAUCUUAUCAAGAUGGAUAAACCCUAGUUUCCCAGUGCUGGAAUAUAGAAAAUGAUGGACAAGUAAAUCCCACUCAGCACCCAUAGUCCAGGCAUGGGGACCUCAACACACCUGAGCCCCAGACAUCACCUUUCAUUAAUGUCUUUUUGUCACUUCUAGCUGGACCUACCAUGAAAGACUUCUGAAUCCAGGAAGAGAGACUGACUGGGCAACAUGUUAUUCAGAUGGGGUCUUCUUAUGUUGCCCAGGCUGGUCUCAAAUUCCUAGGCUCAGGUGAUUCCACCCACCUCUGCCUCCCAAAGUGCUGGGAUUACAGGCAUGAGCCAGCGCAUCUGGCCACCUUAUUUUCUAUUACUGGCCCAAUGUAAUGGCUCCAUCUCAGGAACAGCCAAUGAAAGAGAUGCACAGGACAAGAGAUGGGGCCUCAGUAUGUUGCCACGGCUGACCUUGAACUCCUACACUCAAGGGAUUUUCCUGACCUGGCCUCCCAAAGUAUUGGUAUUACAGGCAUGAGCCAUUGUGCCCACCGUCUCUGGUUCUUAACCUUCUGCCUCCCUCGUCCAGUUUUAAAGAAUGUGUGUAAUUACAUGGGCUCUCCUAGAUACUCCAGGAUAAUCUUGUUUUAAGGUCAGCUGACGAGCAACAUUAAUUUUAUCUGCACUCUUAAUUCCACCUUUCUAUGUAAUUGUGCUGUGUAACAUAGGACAUGAGCAAUUGGUGGGGGUGGGGGUUAUUACUUUGGCCACCACAGUAACUAUUUUAUGCCAGGUACUCAGCUAAGCACUGGUGAAUUAAGCAUGAAUAACACACACUCCCUAAUCUCCAUCCAUUCUUGGGAGGAGCACCUCACCUGCCAUGCUCCUGAGAAUCUGGGGAGUCAAAGAAGUCUUCCAUGAGGAGGUGAUGCCAAAGCGGACAAGUGACAGAGGAGUCAAAGCUAGCUAGGAAGAGAGUAGAGCUUUAAGGGGAAACAUAUUAUAAGCAGAGGAUAUCACCCACUUCAGAGACUCCCAGAGGAGAAAGAGUUUGCAUUGAAGGGGCAGAUGAGGCUCAGUUGGACUCCACAGCAGAUGAAAUGGAGAGGGGCAAGCAGUGAGGCUGCCUUGCAAGGCAGGGCAGAGCAGGGGCUGUUAAGGAGUUUGGACUUAAUCCCUGAGGCAAGGAGAAGUGAUGUAAAUGGGGGAGUAACAUGAUGAGAUUCAUGGAUUAGAGACAUGGCUCAGGCUGCUGUAGAGAAGGCACCAGGGAGAGCGGAUGGCUCAAUGGGUGUGCAGGAGACCUCUCACUGAGUUUAGGGAGAGGUUUUUUAAACAGAAGAAGUUUGAGUAAUUUAAAUGAUGAUGGGAAGGAGCUAAAAGUGGGGGAUAGGUUAAAGAUACAGGAAAGUGGGAGGAAGAACUGACAAGUGAGGUUCCAGAGAGGGCAGGAGAAGAGGAGAUUCUCACAGGGGGAUUAACACUUUCUUUUCUUUUUUCUUUCUGAGACAGAGUCUCACUCUGUCACCCAGGCUGGAGUGCAGUGGCACAAUCUUGGCUCAUUGUAGUGCAGACUUCCCAGGCUUAAGGGGUUCUCCCACCCCAGACUCCCAAGUAGCUGGAACUACGGGUGUGCACCACCACCACACCUGGCUAAUGUUUCUUUUUUUGGUAGACACAGAGUCUCACUAUUUUGUGCUGAUUGGUCUCCAACUCCUGGCCUCAAGUGAUCCUCCUGCCUAGGCUUCCCAAAUUGCUGGGAUUACAGGCAUGAGCCACAAUGCCUGGCCUCUGAUAGUUCUGUAUUCUCUAGAGUUGUCUUUACUUUGUGCUAGUGUGUCCCUCAUUGUGCUAAUCCUCUGUAAAAAU